rnacentral:rRNA from 1 species
GACAAACGCUGGCGGCGUGCAUAAAACAUGCAAGUCGGACGAGCCAAUCCCCGCAAGGGGAAAGGCUAGUGGCGAACGGCUGAGUAACACGUAGGUGAUCUGCCCUGAAGUGGGGGAUAACGACUCGAAAGAGUCGCUAAUACCGCAUGUGACCAUCGAUUCGUUUUCGAUGCUCAAAGUCGUAAGACGCUUUAGGAGGAGCCUGCGGCGGAUUAGCUAGUUGGUGAGGAAUGGCCCACCAAGGCUUCGAUCCGUAGCUGGUCUGAGAGGAUGACCAGCCAGACUGGGACUGAGACACGGCCCAGACUCCUACGGGAGGCAGCAGUUAGGAAUUUUGCGCAAUGGGGGAAACCCUGACGCAGCCACGCCGCGUGCGGGAUGAAGGCC